rnacentral:rRNA from 1 species
GAUGAACGCUGGCGGCGUGCCUAAUACAUGCAAGUCGAACGAAACUUCUUUAUCACCGAGUGCUUGCACUCACCGAUAAAGAGUUGAGUGGCGAACGGGUGAGUAACACGUGGGCAACCUGCCCAAAAGAGGGGGAUAACACUUGGAAACAGGUGCUAAUACCGCAUAACCAUAGUUACCGCAUGGUAACUAUGUAAAAGGUGGCUAUGCUACCGCUUUUGGAUGGGCCCGCGGCGCAUUAGCUAGUUGGUGGGGUAAAGGCUUACCAAGGCAAUGAUGCGUAGCCGAACUGAGAGGUUGAUCGGCCACAUUGGGACUGAGACACGGCCCAAACUCCUACGGGAGGCAGCAGUAGGGAAUCUUCCACAAUGGGCGAAAGCCUGAUGGAGCAACGCCGCGUGGGUGAAGAAGGUCUUCGGAUCGUAAAACCCUGUUGUUAGAGAAGAAAGUGCGUGAGAGUAACUGUUCACGUUUCGACGGUAUCUAACCAGAAAGCCACGGCUAACUACGUGCCAGCAGCCGCGGUAAUACGUAGGUGGCAAGCGUUAUCCGGAUUUAUUGGGCGUAAAGGGAACGCAGGCGGUCUUUUAAGUCUGAUGUGAAAGCCUUCGGCUUAACCGGAGUAGUGCAUUGGAAACUGGGAGACUUGAGUGCAGAAGAGGAGAGUGGAACUCCAUGUGUAGCGGUGAAUGCGUAGAUAUAUGGAAGAACACCAGUGGCGAAAGCGGC